UAACGAGUAUUGGGCAAUGGGCGAAAGCCUGACCCAGCGACGCCGCGUAUGGGAUGAAGUCCUUCGGGAUGUAAACCAUUGUCAGGGGCUGCCAAGCAACCGGAUUUAAUAAAUCCGGGAGUUGAGGAGCCCCAGAGGAAGCCACGGCUAACUUCGUGCCAGCAGCCGCGGUAAUACGAAGGUGGCAAGCGUUGUUCGGAUUUAUUGGGCUUAAAGCGCACGUAGGCGGCUCUUCAAGUGUCUUGUGAAAUCCCUCGGCUCAACCGAGGAGUUGCUGGGCAUACUGUCGAGCUUGAGGUAGGUAUGGGUAAGUGGAACUCUUGGUGGAGCGGUGGAAUGCGUAGAUAUCAAGAGGAACGCCGGUGGUGAAGACGACUUACUAGGCCUAUCCUGACGCUGAGGUGCGAAAGCCAGGGGAGCGAACG
rnacentral:rRNA from 1 species